AUUUAUACAAGUUUAAGUACGACUGUACCCGUUUAACACGUUGACACACGCAUACUCUCACUUAUAUAAACCCGGUAGUCUGCCAGAGUGUCACGAAGGACCUCGGUAAAUCAACUUUACACCAAGAUCACAUGAUUAAGCAAAUACACAUCACAUACACGGAGAUUUGCAGUGGAAAUAAUAUUACAAAAGAGUUCACAAAUAAUAAUACAAGUUUGGAUUUUCCAAAUCGAUUAGAAAACAACAUAGCUUUCAAAUGAUUACAAUAACAUAAGUUCCAAAUACAUUGCUAGCAUAAGUGACAUCCUCCCACAACAGC
rnacentral:lncRNA from 1 species